AUGGCGACCUGCGGCGACCGGAGCAGCAGCGGCGUCAGUUGCUGCACCGCCGACUUCUUGGAGCAGCGAAAGCGACUCGCGAGAAGACGCCGCCAAGUGGAACCCGGGCCCUGCGGCCCUGGGAGGGGGCAGCAGCGACACAGCCAUGAAGCCCCGGGCGCGGCGCUGGGCGCCAACGAGAGCCACGGCAACCUCCAGACGGCGCCACAGCAACCUCUAGGCAGUGCCCACACCAGCCUACAGGUGGCGCCCCUCGCACUGCACCUGCCGCGGCCGCCCCGGGUGUGAACUGCGCUGUCAGCAGGGCCGCGCUGACCCGGGUGGCCCAGGCCCGCAGCAGCCGAGGAGCCCAGGGGCACUGCCCGGGGUGACGAGAAGGAGAAGACGGUGCCCCAGAAAAAGGCAAGAGCUCAGAGCUCGGGUCCCCGUGCCAGGAAUGGCCAGGAGCAGAAGAUGGAGAGGUGGAGAUGGAGAAGGAGAAGCAGGAGGUGGGAAGGAGCGGCGCUCCACCGGUGGGGUCAACAUGCGCUGGCUGAGCUUAGAGUAUGAAGAGGAUGAAGCAAGUCAGAAAGAGCGGAAACGAGAAGGUGCAAUGACACAGCAGAGCACAAUGCAGAAUCCAGCCCUAGGACUC
rnacentral:lncRNA from 1 species